rnacentral:rRNA from 1 species
UGAAAAGCACUUUGAAAAGAGAGUUAAAUAGGCCGCGAAACCGUUAGGAGGGAAACGCAUGCAGCCGAACGGACCCUCGCCGGGUUCACGGGUGUGCGGAGACGAGCCGUUUCGUCGGGCACCCCAGGGGUCCCCGAGGCGGAGCGCGUCCCCGCCGCCCUGCACUCCCGGCGUUCCGGGUCGACCAAGGGCGGCGGUCUUGCGGGUGAAGCGGGCGAUCGGGAGGUACCGCAGCCGGCUGGGUGUCGGAGGCGAACUUACUAGCCGGUCGUUCCUGGAGCCCGCGGGCCGCCGAGGAGAGGGCGGCUGGCUCGCCCCCUCAGCGCAGGCCCGUGUGGGCCGGAGCCCUUCUGACCGUGCGGUCGUCGCUCCGUGAGACUGUCCGCAGUGUCCGGCGGUGGCGUUCUAGUUCGGUCGGGAGUCGGUCUCACGUCUUGCGCUGCAGUCUCUU